rnacentral:lncRNA from 1 species
UUAGUAUGCGGACGAAGGCGGCGGGCUGCGCGGAGCGGCGUCCCCUGCAGCCGCGGACCGAGGCAGCGGCGGCACCUGCCGGCCGAGCAAUGCCAAGUGAGUACACCUAUGUGAAACUGAGAAGUGAUUGCUCGAGGCCUUCCCUGCAAUGGUACACCCGAGCUCAAAGCAAGAUGAGAAGGCCCAGCUUGUUAUUAAAAGACAUCCUCAAAUGUACAUUGCUUGUGUUUGGAGUGUGGAUCCUUUAUAUCCUCAAGUUAAAUUAUACUACUGAAGAAUGUGACAUGAAAAAAAUGCAUUAUGUGGACCCUGACCAUGUAAAGCUAAAGACCUUAUCUCCCUGCGGAUGGCAUUGCGUGCAGUUAAUUAUGGCCAGAUGGACUCAGCCGCUUCUUCAUCGUCUUCUCUCGGACUCUGCAGACCUACACCGUGCCUUUAAAGGAAGCAGGGCCCUCCCUGCUGAAGCAUUCAGUGAGCCCAGGCACCAGCAUCUUCAAACCGAGUCUUUUCUCU